GGCUACAUGAGACUCAAUAAGAAGGC
rnacentral:piRNA from 1 species